rnacentral:lncRNA from 1 species
AAAAAAAACAAUUAAUAUGAGUAAUGAAUGAAAGGGAAAAAACGAAAAACAUGUGGAUAUGUGCAAAAAUAGAAAACAGAUAUGUUUUGGAGUCUAUGGGAUCUUACAUGAUAAUAUUCGCUUUCCAACGUAUUUUUGCUUAACCCAGAUUACAUCAAUGAUGGAAGUGUUCUGAAGAAAGUACAAUAAUGAAUAAAGUAAAAAUUAAUACAUGAAACAGUAAUCGCGUUAAUAAAUUGAUUACAUAUGCAUGCCCUUAAUCAUUACUACAAUAAAAAUAUAUUACCUUUGAAAUAAUUAAGUAAAUUGUACCUCGUAUUUUUGAAUUGAUUUUUUAACCCAAACGAACCGAAUUCUGGAGCUGAGUAUUUUUGAACUUAACCUCUAAUUAAACGUUAUCAAUGCAUCAACGAUUCUAAAAUGAAUAUAAACGCUAAAGAUUAAUCAACAUUAAAAUAAAUUUAUAAAUUAAUUUACAACAACAACAA